GUCCACGCUGUAACGAUGGAUGCUAGCCGUCAGCAAGCAUGCUUGUUGGUGGCGCAGCUAACGCAUUAAGCAUCCCGCCUGGGAGUACGGCCGCAAGGUUAAACUCAAAGGAAUUGACGGGGCCCGCACAAGCGGUGGAGCAUGUGGUUUAAUUCGACGCAACGCGAAGAACCUUACCAGCCCUUGACAUGUCCGGACGGUUUCCAGAGAUGGAUUCCUCCUAGCAAUAGGUCGGAACACAGGUGCUGCAUGGCUGUCGU
rnacentral:rRNA from 1 species